CAACACGUGCGGUGGAUAUUCCUAGAUUACUAGCGUAUGCUACGUAAACAAUUUUUUUAAUUAAUAAAUGUUCAAUUUAUUACACAUAUCCCACAAAUUAAGCUAAACUCUAUGUACCUUGACUUCGUCCUAUUAAAUUGAAUACGAUAAAAGAAAGCGUAUCAACAAAUAUGAUGCGAUAAUUCGGUGAUGAAAUAUGUUACACAGGGACGAAGUUAAAAAAAAGCAAAAGUAAAGUAAGAGAAGAUAUUCCACUUAUGGAAGUUUUACUGUAUCUAAAUAUUUCUUGGAAUGCUGUUGUAUACCUUGAAUUUGAUUUUAGACAUUUAGUUGAGAGAGUUAUGUUAAGUUGGUCAAAGCUGGUUAGUUUGAAUAGUUAAAAAAAUUAUUUGCAAGUUACCAAUCUUGUGGCAGUUAUUUCUAUUAGCAAAUCAUUUGCAUAUGUAUAAAUAGUUUUAUUUUUUUGGAUUCGUUCGUUAAAGACAUAAAUAUGUGCAGAGUCCAGACGCGCAACCGUACAAGCUGAAUGUAAGUUCAUCAACUGAUUAAGUAUAUGUCAGCGACUUCGUGUAUAACUUGUAUUACUGUGCUGAUGUUCAACAAGUUGAUAGCAAACCCAAAACCGCUUUUGCACCUCUACUGACUAUUACUAGUAUGUUUGGACAACAAAGUUGUUGAUGUUGCUACCAUUAUUGGUGAUAGUGCUGCUGUGAAAACCUAUAUAAAUGGGUGAUGUGCGCGAAAGUGUGUAGCCACUAGAGUCGCUGAUGCAGAUUUCUUUCGCUUCACAGACUCGAAAAAGGAGUUUAUCUAACGUAUUUUCCGGACAAAAAACAACAAUAUAAUAGCCUUAAUAGGCUAAGUGAAUAUUGCCGGCAAAAAACAAAAAUGUCGAUGAUCUCAAUGCCACAAUUCAGAAUUUCGCUCACGGAGAGCACUUUACUUACAAAUUAUUUGACACAGCUACAAACAUUUUUAAAUUUAUUGGAAUUGCCUGGACUACCACCACAAAAUUUUUAAUUAGAAGUAGGAUCAUUUGUCUUCAUUCUGCGUAGCAUAAAUCAACCUCGACUUUGCAAUGGAACGAGACUGGCUGUGAAGAAGCUAAUGAAUAUCGUCAUUGAAGCCAAGAUCAUCAAGGGGAAAUACAAAAUUCCACGUAUACCGAUGAUUCCAACGACUUUAAGCGUUUACCAUUUUCCGUAAGCCUGGCUUUUACAAUAAGCAUCAAUAAAUCGCAGGCCAGUCGUUGAAAGUUUACAGAAUCAACUUGAAGUUUCCCUGUUUCGCGCAUGUAGAAUUAUACGUUGCGUGUUCGGAAAACUAUCAUCUUUAUAUAUUGACGCACCGCAAAAAAAGAAAGCUUUAAAUUAAUUAACUGUAUAACCAGCUAAUAUGUACAGCAGUGGCCGUCUUUUGGCCAAUAUGAUGAUGAUGAUAACAUAACUCUGUUGUAUUUAACGUAGACAAAAAUAUUGUAUUAAUUUUAAAUUUUUAACAUAAUUUUGUUACAAACUUGAAUUUAAGAUAAAUAAACCACAAAAUUAAACA